rnacentral:misc_RNA from 1 species
GAAAUGCGAUACGUAGUGUGAAUUGCAGAAUUCCGUGAAUCAUCGAAUCUUUGAACGCAUAUUGCGCUCGAGACCUCGGUCAAGAGCAUGUCUGGCUCAGCGUCGGCUCACCCCCUCGCCACCCACUCCCCCGUUUCGAUGGGAGAGCCGGGAGGGCGGAUCUGGCCGUCUCUGUGCUCCUCGAGAGCGCAGGGUCGGCUGAAGAACAGAGGCUUGAGCAUGGUCCCGCUGAAAGGGCGCCAGCUUGGUAGGGUAGCUCACGCUCCAUGCCGCUGUCGCCCCUAGGUACCUGUGCUGCAAAGCCGGCAGGAAUCGGUGGUCAAACACCGAACUCUUACUUUCGACCUGAGCUCAGGCAAGACUACCCGCUGAACUUAA